rnacentral:rRNA from 1 species
AGAGUUUGAUCAUGGCUCAGAUUGAACGCUGGCGGCAGGCCUAACACAUGCAAGUCGAACGGUAACAGGAAGCAGCUUGCUGCUUUGCUGACGAGUGGCGGACGGGUGAGUAAUGUCUGGGAAACUGCCUGAUGGAGGGGGAUAACUACUGGAAACGGUAGCUAAUACCGCAUAACGUCGCAAGACCAAAGAGGGGGACCUUCGGGCCUCUUGCCAUCGGAUGUGCCCAGAUGGGAUUAGCUAGUAGGUGGGGUAACGGCUCACCUAGGCGACGAUCCCUAGCUGGUCUGAGAGGAUGACCAGCCACACUGGAACUGAGACACGGUCCAGACUCCUACGGGAGGCAGCAGUGGGGAAUAUUGCACAAUGGGCGCAAGCCUGAUGCAGCCAUGCCGCGUGUAUGAAGAAGGCCUUCGGGUUGUAAAGUACUUUCAGCGGGGAGGAAGGCGAUAAGGUUAAUAACCUUGUCGAUUGACGUUACCCGCAGAAGAAGCACCGGCUAACUCCGUGCCAGCAGCCGCGGUAAUACGGAGGGUGCAAGCGUUAAUCGGAAUUACUGGGCGUAAAGCGCACGCAGGCGGUCUGUCAAGUCGGAUGUGAAAUCCCCGGGCUCAACCUGGGAACUGCAUUCGAAACUGGCAGGCUAGAGUCUUGUAGAGGGGGGUAGAAUUCCAGGUGUAGCGGUGAAAUGCGUAGAGAUCUGGAGGAAUACCGGUGGCGAAGGCGGCCCCCUGGACAAAGACUGACGCUCAGGUCGGAAAGCGUGGGGAGCAAACAGGAUUAGAUACCCUGGUAGUCCACGCCGUAAACGAUGUCGACUUGGAGGUUGUGCCCUUGAGGCGUGGCUUCCGGAGCUAACGCGUUAAGUCGACCGCCUGGGGAGUACGGCCGCAAGGUUAAAACUCAAAUGAAUUGACGGGGGCCCGCACAAGCGGUGGAGCAUGUGGUUUAAUUCGAUGCAACGCGAAGAACCUUACCUACUCUUGACAUCCAGAGAACUUAGCAGAGAUGCUUGGUGCCUUCGGGAACUCUGAGACAGGUGCUGCAUGGCUGUCGUCAGCUCGUGUUGUGAAAUGUUGGGUUAAGUCCCGCAACGAGCGCAACCCUUAUCCUUUGUUGCCAGCGGUCCGGCCGGGAACUCAAAGGAGACUGCCAGUGAUAAACUGGAGGAAGGUGGGGAUGACGUCAAGUCAUCAUGGCCCUUACGAGUAGGGCUACACACGUGCUACAAUGGCGCAUACAAAGAGAAGCGACCUCGCGAGAGCAAGCGGACCUCAUAAAGUGCGUCGUAGUCCGGAUUGGAGUCUGCAACUCGACUCCAUGAAGUCGGAAUCGCUAGUAAUCGUGGAUCAGAAUGCCACGGUGAAUACGUUCUCGGGCCUUGUACACACCGCCCGUCACACCAUGGGAGUGGGUUGCAAAAGAAGUAGGUAGCUUAACCUUCGGGAGGGCGCUUACCACUUUGUGAUUCAUGACUGGGGUG